ACGGCCGUACCAUGCUGAAUAUAUACCAUGCGGUUCUCGUUAGAUCACCGAAGUUGAGCAUCAUUGGGCGCGGUCAGUACUUGGGUGGGUGACAACCUGGGAACACUGCGUGCCGUU
rnacentral:rRNA from 1 species